CACGUAGGGUGCGAGCGUUGUCCGGAAUUAUUGGGCGUAAAGAGCUCGUAGGCGGUCCGUCACGUCGGAUGUGAAAUUCCAGGGCUCAACCCUGGACCUGCAUUCGAUACGGGCGGACUAGAGUUCGGUAGGGGAGACUGGAAUUCCUGGUGUAGCGGUGAAAUGCGUAGAUAUCGGGAGGAACACCGGUGGCGAAGGCGGUUCUCUGGGCCUUACCUGACGCUGAGGAGCGAAAGCGUGGGGAGCGAACAGG
rnacentral:rRNA from 1 species